rnacentral:rRNA from 1 species
GUGCGCGAGUCAAAGGGCUGGCUAAACCCCAAGGCGAAACGAAAGUGAAAUAUCUUUCAUGGGCUGAUCCGGUUCGUUGUGAGUGACCGAAGUUAGCGGGGUCGUUCGUCGCCGUCUGGUCGAUAUCCUCUUUCGCGGGGGAAGUUGAAGGCGGAUGUUCGGCGGCUCUGCGCUUUGGAAACUCCCCUCGAUUUGCCACCUCAAUAUGUGGACGGCGCAAGCCCGGGGCCCGCAACGUUCCUCUUCGCCGUUAAGGCUUGGCCGGUCGUUUCGCGGCUCCCCCGCCUGAGAGAGAGUGUCUGCACGGCGGCCGUUGUAGAUGACCUUCCUAGUAGGGGGUUAAUCUCUCGUAUCGUCGGAUCGGUACGCGAAGGCAUUGCGUUCUUCGCGUUCCCCUCCGUCGGUGCGAGAACCUUCUUUUAUGGGGGUUGUGGCGGCUUUAAAAGCGGUUCGUGCGUCAUUCAAUCCGAGUUGGUGAAGGGGUGAGUUCGCGCGCGUCGGGCUCGCUGGCGGAGACGGACAGCGGGUUCUUUGAGCGCACAUACUAGGACCCGAAAGAUGGUGAUCUAUGCGUGGCGAGGAUGAAGCCAGGGGAAACCCUGGUGGAAGUCCGUAGCGAUUCUGACGUGCAAAUCGAUCGUCGGAGCUGCGCAUAGGGGCG